GCGGAGGGAUCAUUACCGAGUUAUACAACUCAUCAACCCUGUGAACAUACCUAAAACGUUGCUUCGGCGGGAACAGACGGCCCCGUAACACGGGCCGCCCCCGCCAGAGGACCCCCUAACUCUGUUUCUAUUAUGUUUCUUCUGAGUAAAACAAGCAAAUAAAUUAAAACUUUCAACAACGGAUCUCUUGGCUCUGGCAUCGAUGAAGAACGCAGCGAAAUGCGAUAAGUAAUGUGAAUUGCAGAAUUCAGUGAAUCAUCGAAUCUUUGAACGCACAUUGCGCCCGCCAGUAUUCUGGCGGGCAUGCCUGUUCGAGCGUCAUUACAACCCUCAGGCCCCCGGGCCUGGCGUUGGGGAUCGGCGAGGCGCCCCCUGCGGGCACACGCCGUCCCCCAAAUACAGUGGCGGUCCCGCCGCAGCUUCCAUUGCGUAGUAGCUAACACCUCGCAACUGGAGAGCGGCGCGGCCAUGCCGUAAAACACCCAACUUCUGAAUGUUGACCUCGGAUCAGGUAGGAAUACCCGCUG
rnacentral:rRNA from 1 species